rnacentral:rRNA from 1 species
GUCGAGCGGAAUGAUGAGAGCUUGCUCUCUGAUUUUAGCGGCGGACGGGUGAGUAACACGUGGGCAACCUGCCCUACAGAUGGGGAUAACUCCGGGAAACCGGGGCUAAUACCGAAUAAUCAGUUUGUCCGCAUGGACAAACUCUGAAAGACGGUUUCGGCUGUCACUGUAGGAUGGGCCCGCGGCGCAUUAGCUAGUUGGUGGGGUAAUGGCCUACCAAGGCGACGAUGCGUAGCCGACCUGAGAGGGUGAUCGGCCACACUGGGACUGAGACACGGCCCAGACUCCUACGGGAGGCAGCAGUAGGGAAUCUUCCACAAUGGACGAAAGUCUGAUGGAGCAAUGCCGCGUGAGCGAAGAAGGUUUUCGGAUCGUAAAGCUCUGUUGUAAGGGAAGAACACGUACGGGAGUAACUGCCCGUGCCAUGACGGUACCUUAUUAGAAAGCCACGGCUAACUACGUGCCAGCAGCCGCGGUAAUACGUAGGUGGCAAGCGUUGUCCGGAAUUAUUGGGCGUAAAGCGCGCGCAGGCGGUUCUUUAAGUCUGAUGUGAAAGCCCACGGCUCAACCGUGGAGGGUCAUUGGAAACUGGAGAACUUGAGUACAGAAGAGGAAAGCGGAAUUCCACGUGUAGCGGUGAAAUGCGUAGAGAUGUGGAGGAACACCAGUGGCGAA